CUGCUCCAAGGCGGUUGUGAUGGAGAGGAUUGUGCCUCUGCCUAGCUCCCUGCAGUUUCACGGCCGCGUUGGUGCCAGUCCCACCCCCGCACUGCACAGUCUAAUAGCGGCUCCUCUCCCUUGCAAGCACCAUGACACCUGCCCUGGAGCCAGAAGUGGAGAGCCACCUCCUUCGAGCUGCCCUGCAUGCCAUCUUCACCCUGGGCACGGAGAAGGACACCACCCAAGUCCAGGAUCUGCAUAGGGUCUUGCCAGACCUCCUGGACACCAUGCUGGGGAACCUGCUGGCGGAGUCCCCAGACACCGACAGGCUCCACUACAUCUUGAAGGUGACCCCGAUGAGAGUGCAAAUUAACUACUGGAUCGUGUCCAGGGUGUCGCAGGAGAGAGCCAGGGCCAUUAGGAGCAGCACGGCCCUGCUCAGAUUCACCAUCACCCUUCCUGAGUUUGACAACUCCGCAGAAUUCCCCAGGCUGGGUCACCAUGUGGCACAGCUGGCUCUGUUCAUCAGUGACCCAGGCAAGGACCUCAGCCGGCAGGCCAGGGAGUGGGUUUACCGGCUCAACCAGCUGCUGCUGCACCAGAGGGGUCUUUGGCAAGUUCUUCUCGGAGGGGCAGAGAAAAUUUUUCCUCCGGACGGAGGGCAGUGCUGGCCAUCCACGAUCUCCUGCUGCGUGUCAGCCAGGCUGGGCUGCUCCUCGCCUACUCCCUCCUGGGGGAAGCCCAGCAGCUGAUGGGGGACAAGGAGCUCAUUGAGGAGCUGUUUGAUAACUCUCCACCCGGCGGCGUCCUCGCUAACUCCCUGAUUGCUGUGGGCAACCUCAGCACCCUGACACCUGCCCUUGAGCCAGAGCUAGAGACCCACCUCCUUCGAGCUGCCGUCUUCACCCUGGGCACCCAGAAGGACACCACCCGAGUCCCGGUAGAUCAUGCUAAAGUCAUAGAUUGAAGAGCCAGCUGUCAUCCUGCCAUGAAUCCUGGCUAAUUGCCUGCAGUGGGAUGUGAAUGAGAAAGGCCAGGAUAUGUGUUUGGGGGUCCCACCAGUGCUUCCCAGAGAUCCCUCUUCCCAUCCUGUGGCAGAUGUAGCCCCACUUUCCCUAACUCCGACCCAUGGCUCUCCCUUGCUUUGCAGGAUCUGCAUAGGGUCUUGCCAGACCUCGUGGAUUCCAUGCUGGGGAACCUGCUUGCAGAGCCCCCAGACACCGACAGGCUCCACUACAUUUUGGGAGUGAGCCCGAUUAGAGCACAUUAACUACUGGAUCGUGUCCAGGGUGUCGCAGGAGAGAGCCAAGGCCAUUAGGAGCAGCACGGCCCUGUCGGAGAAAAACUCAGUUCUCGCUUUUUCUUUUGGGUGCAGCA